AAUGCUUUCUGCAUGCUUCAAUCUUUUCUCUGUAUGGUCAAGACCCAAUUCAAUGCAACUGUACAAACUGCUAGGAGUGACAAUGCUUUAGAAUUGGGAUCUAGCAUUACUGGUACAUCCUUUUUUAACCAACAUGGAAUCAUACACCAAACCACUUGCCCACAUACUUCCCAAAAGAAUGGUGUUGUUGAGAGGAAACAUAGAACUCUUCUUGAAACCUAUAGAGCUUUGCUUUUCCAGUCUGGUUUACCCAUUUCUUUCCGGGGUUAUUGUCUAUUAACUGCUACCUACCUUGUUAACAGAGUACCCUCCAGGCUCCUUCAUGGUAAAUCUCCUUAUGAAAUCUUGCAUAGUAAGGCACCCACUUACUCUCAUUUAAAGGCUUUUGGCUGCCUUUCCUAUGCUACUGUCCCCAUUCCUCAAAGGGACAAGUUAAAGCCUAGGGCCAUUUCUUGUGUUUUCCUAGGGUAUCCUUUUGCCAAAAAGGGUUAUAAACUAAAUGAUCUUAGUUCCAAAAAGUGUUUUGUGUCCAGGGAUGUUGUCUUUCAUGAAACUUCUUUUAGUUAUAAACUAUAUGAUCUUAGUUCCAAAAAGUGUCUUGUGUCCAGGGAUGUUGUCUUUCAUGAAACUUCUUUUCCUUUCAAAUCUUCCUCUUCUGUCACCUCUGUUCCUCCUGCUUUCCCUUCCUCUUUUACUUCUAUUCCUCCCAUUGAACAUUCCUCUUCUGACCAAGACUUCUCUGUUCCACUCUCUUCCUCUCCACCUCCUGUUCCAGAUUCUCCUCAUUCAAAUCCAAUUUCCAGUCCUCCUUUCAACCCUGACAUCUCCCCUCCUGCUUUACCUUCUUCCACAUCAACUGAUGUUCCCAGGAAAUCUGGCAGACAACACAAUCCUCCUUCUUAUCUUAAGGAUUAUGUUUGUAACCUUCCUGCUUUCUCUGGGUCUUCUUCUUCUCCUCUGGAGACUGAACCCCUUUACUACUCUCAAGCUGCAUCAGUUCCAGUAUGGCAGGAUGCCAN
rnacentral:lncRNA from 1 species